ACCUGGCUGGCUCAGUUGGUAAAGCACGUGACUCCGGAUCUCGGGAUUAUGAGUUCAAGCCUCAGGCUGGGUA